rfam:Dipodomys ordii contig_51684, whole genome shotgun sequence.
GGUGGCUCAGUGGUAGAGUGCUUGCCUUGCAUGCACGAGGCCCUGGGUUCGAUUCCCCAGCACCA